GAUGAACGCUAGCGGCAGGCCUAAUACAUGCAAGUCGAGGGGUAAAUAUGUAGCAAUAUUUAUGAGACCGGCGCACGGGUGCGUAACACGUAUGCAACCUACCUAUUACUGGGGCAUAGCUCAGAGAAAUCUGAAUUAAUACCCCAUAACACUGCGAAACGGCAUCGUUUUGCAGUUAAAGCUCCGGCGGUAAUAGAUGGGCAUGCGGAACAUUAGCUAGUUGGUGAGGUAAUGGCUCACCAAGGCUACGAUGUUUAGGGGGUCUGAGAGGAUGAUCCCCCACACUGGUACUGAGACACGGACCAGACUCCUACGGGAGGCAGCAGUAGGGAAUAUUGGUCAAUGGACGCAAGUCUGAACCAGCCAUGCCGCGUGCAGGAAGAAUGUCCUAUGGAUUGUAAACUGCUUUUUUACGGGAAGAAACCCCUGGUGCGUCUGGGGCUGACGGUACUGUAAGAAUAAGGAUCGGCUAACUUCGUGCCAGCAGCCGCGGUAAAAC
rnacentral:rRNA from 1 species